AAUGAUAUGUCUGAUUAAAAGUAAUAAAAUGUAAAUUUAUUUAUGAAUAAUUUUUAUUCUAUCAUUA
rnacentral:tRNA from 1 species